rnacentral:rRNA from 1 species
UACGGAGGGGGCUAGCGUUGUUCGGAAUUACUGGGCGUAAAGCGCGCGUAGGCGGACCUGCAAGUCGGGGGUGAAAGCCCGAGGCUCAACCUCGGAACUGCCUUCGAUACUGCGGGUCUCGAGUCCGGGAGAGGUGAGUGGAAUUCCUAGUGUAGAGGUGAAAUUCGUAGAUAUUAGGAAGAACACCAGUGGCGAAGGCGGCUCACUGGCCCGGUACUGACGCUGAGGCGCGAAUGCGUGGGGCGCAAUCAGG